UGUGAACAGCCCUCGGAGCAUCUAGGCCUCUGCUACAAUCAGGUCUCUGGUGACUUGAAAAGCAGCAAUGAGGGAACUCAGCUGGAUCUUCUCGUUGGUGCCAACAGAAAGCCUGUACCUAACAGAAACCAAACACAGGGGUAGCCAAAAAGGAAAAGGAAAAUUAGCAGAUACCAAAGUGAUCUGAAGAGCACCAAAGGAUCAUCACACUGCUCCUAGCAGCUGGGUAGCUCUGCAAGUUAUCUGGAAGGCUGGGUUCCCACUUGCUGGGUUUUUUUUUUUGAGAUGGGAGUCUCACUCUGUUGCCCAGGCUGGAGUGCAGUGGCUUGAUCUUGAACCUACCGGGUUCAAGUGAUUCUCCUGCCUCAGCCUCGAGUAGCCGGGACUACAGGCAUGCGCCACCACACCUGGCUAAUUUUUGUAUUUUUUAGUAGAAAUGGGGUUUCACCAUACUGGACAGGCUGGUCUUGAACUCCUGACCUCAUGAUCUGCCCGCCUCGGCCUCCCCAAGUGCUGGGAUUACAGGUGUGAGCCACCAUGCCCAGCCAUAUAUGUAUUUUUUUUUAAAGAAAUGUGAAUUAAUAUAUACUACUUACUGCUAUAAAAUACCCCUAGAGGAAAUAAAGUUAGCCUCCAGGUAUUUUCACUCUCCCUAGCAGUUCUAGACAUUAAAAGAGGGUUUUUGGGGGGUGGGGGCUAGGGGAGAGAUACCAUAAGAAGAAAUACCUAGGCCGGGCACGGUGGCUCAAGCCUGUAAUCCCAGCACUUUGGGAGGCCGAGGCGGGUGGAUCACGAGGUCAAGAGAUCGAGACCAUCCUGGUCAACAUGGUGAAACCCCGUCUCUACUAAAAAUACAAAAAAUUAGCUGGGCAUGGUGGGGCGUGCCUGUAAUCCCAGCUACUCAGGAGGCUGAGGCAGGAGAAUUGUCUGAACCCAGGAGGUGGAGGUUGCGGUGAGCCGAGAUCGCGCCAUUGCACUCCAGCCUGGGUAACAGUGAAACUCCGUCUCGGGAAAAAAAAAAAAAGAAAUACCUAAUGUAGAUGAUGGGUGAUGGAUGCGGCAAACCACCGUGGCACGUGUAUACCUAUGUAACAAAUCUGCACGUUCUACACACAAAACUUAAAAGUAUAAUAAAAAAUAAAAAAAUAAAAACAAUAUAAAAAACGGUUUCUGGAACAAAGUUUUUUUUUUUUUAAGACAGAUUCUAGCUCUGUCACCCAGGCUGGAGUGCAGUGACAAAUCUCAGCUCACUGCAACCUCGACCUCUCAGGUUAAACAAUUCUCUCACCUCAGCCUCCCGAGUAGCUGGGAUUACAGGCCUGCACCACUAAACCCGGCUAAUGUUUUGUAUUUUUAUUAGAGAUGGGAUUUCACCGUGUUGGUCAGGCUGGUCUCGAACUCCUGACCUCAGGUGAUUUGCCUGCUUUGGCCUCCCAAAGUGCUGGGAUUACAGGUGUGAGCCAUUACACCCAGCUCUGGAACAAAAUUUUAAACAGUGUCAAGACAAAACUGCUAAAAAGACAGGGUCUGAUUUAUACUUCAUUCGUUUCUUUGUUUCAAGAAUGAAGCCUCCUGUUCUAACCAUCGGUAACCCCAAAGCAGGUCACCUUCUUCACAGCUUCUCAGGAAUAACGUUAAGUUACCUCUAUGCACAAACAAGUGUAUCUCUGUCAGGAUAUCGUGCAGUGCCAACCCCUUCAGAGUUUUCAACUCUGUAAUAUCUAGAGAGGAGCAGUUAGUUAAGGCAAAGGGAACAAGUUCAGAACAAACAGACUGCAGAGAAUUUUGAAUUCAAACCCUGGCAAGUGACUUUUUAAAGUAGGGCUUUUAGUCCCAACAGCUGUUUCUCUUUCAACUCGAAGCUGCACACAGGUGUUGGACUCCAAUUCUUUUUCUUUGUUUCAUCUUCAGUAAUGGCUUUCUGAAAGAUAAAUGUAUCUCCUUCUAUUAGAGAAUAAAGCCAAUUGCAUUUCCUU